rnacentral:misc_RNA from 1 species
GCUACUACCGAUUGAAUGGUUUAGUGAGGACUCCUGAUUGGCGCCGCCGCCCGGCAACGGAGCAGCGGACUGCCGAAAAGUUGUUCAAACUUGAUCAUUUAGAGGAAGUAAAAGUCGUAACGAGGUUUCCGUAGGUGAACCUGCAGAAGGAUCAAGAACGGAAAAGCGGCGGGUAGGGAAAAGGUGUAAAAUUUGGGGGGUGGCGGUACAAUUAAAAAAAAAAAAAAAGAGAUCUUGUUAUGACGAUUAUACACUCAAGUCUACUAGAGCUAGAGA